AGUGUACUCCCUCCGUCCAACAAAAGAUCUCUCAAAUUUGUCAAAAUUUGGAUGUAUUAAUAUAUGACUCAGUGUAUAGAUGCAUUCAAAUUUAGUGUUGAGACAUCCUUUGUUGGACAGAAGAAUACCAU
rnacentral:pre_miRNA from 1 species